AACGAACGCUGGCGGCAUGCCUAACACAUGCAAGUCGAACGAGACCUUCGGGUCUAGUGGCGCACGGGUGCGUAACGCGUGGGAAUCUGCCCUGGGGUGCGGAAUAACUCGGAGAAAUCCGUGCUAAUACCGCAUAAUGUCUUCGGACCAAAGAUUUAUCGCCCUGGGAUGAGCCCGCGUAGGAUUAGCUAGUUGGUGGGGUAAAGGCCUACCAAGGCGACGAUCCUUAGCUGGUCUGAGAGGAUGAUCAGCCACACUGGGACUGAGACACGGCCCAGACUCCUACGGGAGGCAGCAGUGGGGAAUAUUGGACAAUGGGCGGAAGCCUGAUCCAGUAAUGCCGCGUGAGUGAUGAAGGCCCUAGGGUUGUAAAGCCCUUUUACCCGGGAUGAUAAUGACAGUACCGGGAGAAUAAGCUCCGGCUAACUCCGUGCCAGCCGCCGCGGUAAAAC
rnacentral:rRNA from 1 species